rnacentral:rRNA from 1 species
UACGUAGGGGGCAAGCGUUGUCCGGAUUUAUUGGGCGUAAAGAGCUCGUAGGCGGCUCGGUAAGUCGGGUGUGAAAACUCGGGGCUCAAACCCCGAGACGCCACUCGAUACUGCCAUGGCUUGAGUCGGUAGGGGAGCGUGGAAUUCCGUGGUGUAGCGGUGAAAUGCGACAGAUAUCAGGAGGAACAGCCGUGGCGAAGGCGGGAUCUCUGGGCCGGAUACUGACGCUGAGGAGCGAAAGCGUGGGGAGCGAACAGGAU